rnacentral:lncRNA from 1 species
UGGUGUAUGUCAGAACAGAAACGCCUCCCCGAGAUCGUCAAUUUUUUGUCUGAAAUUCUAGUAACCGGUGGAUUUGCUGCCGGAGAAUGGUAAAGGUCGCCGGAAACUGAAAAAAAGAAGAGACCGGUGGAGCUACGACGACGGUUGGAUGAUCAAUAGCUAAAGUAUCGUUAAUCACAGGAAAGGAACUUGAAUUUGAACAAAAUAAAAAGUUAAAAACAAUACUUUCUCUGGAAAUUUUUAUGUUCUUGUCGGAAAACGAAUGUGAAAGACUUUGAG